UACGUAGGGGUCUAGCGUUGUCCGGAAUUAUUGGGCGUAAAGGGCUCGUAGGCGUUUUGUCGCGUCGGGAGUGAAAACUCAGGGCUUAACCCUGAGCCUGCUUCCGAUACGGGCAGACUAGAGGUAUGCAGGGGAGAAUGGAAUUCCUGGUGUAGCGGUGAAAUGCGCAGAUAUCAGGAGGAACACCUGUGGUGUAGACAGCUUACUGGACCACUUCUGACGCUGAGACACGAAAGCGUGGGUAGCAAACAGG
rnacentral:rRNA from 1 species